UACAGGGGGGCAAGCGUUGUUCGGAAUUACUGGGCGUAAAGGGCUCGUAGGUGGCCGACUAAGUCAGACGUGAAAUCCCUCAGCUUAACUGGGGAACUGCGUCUGAUACUGGAUGGCUUGAGUUUGGGAGAGGGAUGCGGAAUUCCAGGUGUAGCGGUGAAAUGCGUAGAUAUCUGGAGGAACACCGGUGGCGAAGGCGGCAUCCUGGACCAACACUGACACUGAGGAGCGAAAGCCAGGGGAGCAAACGGG
rnacentral:rRNA from 1 species